UACGGGGGGAGCAAGCGUUGUUCGGAUUUACUGGGCGUAAAGGGCGCGUAGGCGGCCAGCACAAGUCGGUUGUGAAAUCUCCGGGCUUAACCUGGGAACUGCAUUCGAUACUGAGCAGCUAGAGUAUGAGAGAGGGAGGUAGAAUUCCACGUGUAGCGGUGAAAUGCGUAGAUAUGUGGAGGAAUACCGGUGGCGAAGGCGGCCUCCUGGCUUAAUACUGACGCUGAGGUGCGAAAGCGUGGGGAGCAAACAGG
rnacentral:rRNA from 1 species